GAGGGUAUAGCUCAAGUGGUAGAGUGUGUGCUUAGCAUGCACAAGGUCCUGGGUUCAAUUCCCAGUACCUCA
rnacentral:tRNA from 1 species